rnacentral:snRNA from 1 species
GGAUGUGAGGGCGAUCUGGCUGUGACAUCUGUCACCCCAUUGAUCGCCAGGGUUGAUUCGGCUGAUCUGGCUGGCUAGGCGGGUGUCCCCUUCCUCCCUCACCACUCCAUGUGCGUCCCUCCCGAAGCUGCGCGCUUGGUCGAAGAGGAUGACCAUCCCCGAUAGAAGAGGACCAUUCUUCGGUCAAGGGUAUACGAGUAGCUGUGCUCCCCUGCUAGAACCUCCAAACAAGCUUUCAAAAUUUAAGUUUAAAACAGGACCAUGGGGCUUCAAAAUGCAAAUCCUUACCUAAAUUAUCUGUUGGAUAAGACCCAUGACAUAGAGUUUAUUU